rnacentral:rRNA from 1 species
UACGGAGGGUGCGAGCGUUGUCCGGAAUCACUGGGCGUAAAGGGCGCGUAGGUGGCCUGUGGAAGUCUGCGGUGAAAGCCCGGCGCUCAACGCCGGGUCGGCCGUGGAUACUCUCGGGCUCGAGCUUACUAGAGGCAGAUGGAAUUCCGGGUGUAGCGGUGAAAUGCGUAGAUAUCCGGAGGAACACCGGUGGCGAAGGCGGCUUCCUGGACCGACACUGACGCUGAGGCGCGAAAGCUAGGGGAGCAAACGGG